GGUCAGGGCCCCAGCUAAAAGGAGAUUCCGCUGACAAGACGGGGGAGGUCUGUCAAGGAUCCAGGGAGCUGCCAUCUGUGACCCACCAGGGUCUCGGCUGGAUGCACAGCGGCCAGGAGCUGGGGCCCACGUGAGGCUCACUAGGUUCAGGGCCCCAGUCCAGGGACCAUUCUGCCGAAGAGAUGGAGGACGUCUCCCAGGGCCACGGGGCACCCGGCGGGCUGCCCUCUGUGUCCUGCCGUCCACUCACAGGGCUGCGGGGUGGCCAGGAGCUGGAGGCCUUGGGGGGCUCCACAGGGUCAGGACCCCAUCCCAAAGGAGAUUCCGCCGACGAGACGGGGGUGGUCUGCCAGGGAUCCGGGGAGCUGGGGUCUGCCACCUGCGGGGGUCUCGGCGGGAUGCAGGGCGGCCAGGAACUGCGGGCAUCGGGGGGCUCCGCGGGAUCUGGGUCCCAGCCCCUGGGAGACUCCUUGGAAGAGACCGGAGAGGUCUGCCAGGGUCCCGGCGGGCUGGCCUCUGCGUCCCGCUGGUGCCUCUGGCUGCUGCACGGAUCCCUGCCCCAGCUCAGGGGAGACCCAGAGGAAGAGGAAGACACAGGGGGAGGUCUGCCAGGGCCCCGGGGAGUCCGCUGGGCUGCCCUCUGCAUCGCGCUGGCCCUUCCCAGCACUGCAGGGCUGCCAGGAGCUGGCAGUCUCGGGGGGCUUGCCUGGUUUGGGGCCCCAGCUCAGGGGAGACCCUGUCAAAGACAGCGGGCAGGUCUGCCAGGGACCCGCAAAGCUGCCAUCUGGGAACAGACGGUGGCACGGUGGGCUGCAAGGCUGGCAGGAGGUGGGGGCGUCGGGGGGCUCCCCAGGCUCUGCGUCCCAGCCCGUGGAAGACUCCCCGGAAGAGACUGGGGACGUCAGCCAGGGCCCCGGUGGGCUGGCCUCUGCGUCCCGCUGGUGCCUCUGGCUGCUGCACGGGUCCCCACAGGGUUCCCAGGGGUCUGCGCCCCAGCUCAGUAAUCAUGUAUGGAUGUGAGAGUUGGACUGUGAAGAAAGCUGGGUGCUGAAGAAUUGAUGCUUUUGAUCUGUGGUGUUGAAGAACACUCUUGAGAAUCUCUUGUACUACAAGGAGAUCCAACCAAUCCAUCCUAAAGGAGAUUAGUCCUGAGUGUUCAUUUGAGGGACUGAUAUUGCAGCUUAAACUCCAAUCCUUUGGCCACCUAAUGCAAAGACUCAUUUGAAAAGACCCUGAUGCUGGGAAAGAUUGAGGGAAGGAGGAGAGGGGAUGACAGAUGAGAUGGUUGGAUGGCAUGACUGAUUCAAUGGAAAUGAGUUUGGGUAAACCCUCAGAGUUGGUGAUGGACAGGGAGGCCUGGCGUGCUGAGGUUCAUGGGAUCACAGAGAGUUGGGCACGACUCAGCAACUGAGCUGAACUGAACUGAACAUUUUGGCAUAUGGUAGUCAUCAUCUCAUGGGCUAAAAUAAAUAAAGUAAAUAUGCUAAACCUAAAUAAUCACCAGGAAGAUCUGAAAACCUGACAUUAAUGGCAUCUCUCUGUAUGAAGUCAUAGUAAAUACAUUGUUCACAGUCAAAUCAAAAUAUUUAUGUAAUAAUAUACUCAAUGUUAAUAUAAAUGAUUCUAAUUUUUAAACUAUAACACUAAAUGUCUAUAUUUAACAUUAUUCCUAGCUAAAUUCUUCCAAGAACCUUUAAAUACUUCUUUUUUCCCUUUUUAAUAUAUAAAUUUAUUUUAAUUGGAGACUAAUUGCUUUACAUUAUUGUAGUGGUUUUGCCGGAGAAGGCAAUGGCUCCCCACUGCAGUACUCUUGCCUGGAAAAUCCCAUGGGUGAAGGAGCCUGGUAGGCUGCAGUCCAUGGGGUCUCAACAGUUCAUGGGAUCACAGAGAGUUGGACACGACUGAGCAACUUCACUUUCACUUUUCACUUUCAUGCAUUGGAGAAGGAAGUGGCAACCCACUCCAGUGUUCUUGCCUGGAGAAUCCCAGGGACGGGGGAUCCUGGUCGCUGCCAUCUAUGGGGUCACACAGAGUCGGACACGACUGAAGCGAUGCAGCAGCAGGAGCAGCAGCAGCAGCAGUGGUUUUUGCCAUACAUUGACAUGGAUCAAAAAUUUCUCUUUUAAGCCAAUCAACAACUAAGAUCAAAGUGGUAGAAACAGUUACUGUUCCUUUUAUUAUUCUAAAGAUUUGCAAACUUCUCAAGAAGUUUAAUUACCAGAAUUACACAAAAGGGCAGAGUUGAACUGGGCAAAAAUUCAUGUUGCUAUUCCUAUUAAGGUUUGAUGUUCACAAUAUCACUUUUUUAAGUGCACUAAAUAUGUAUGGAAUUUCACUGUGAUAAAUUUUCAAUACAAUGUACUUGAUUGCCUAUAAUAAAAUGUCUUUGACAGGUUGAAAAUAUUUUGAAGUACUUGACUUUGUUCAAAGUAAUAUUAAUUUGUCUUAUGAAUAGCAAUCAGUUCAGUUUAAUCACUCAGUCAUGACUCUUUAUGACCCUAUGGACUGUAGCAUGCUAGGCUUCCCUGUCCACCACCAACUCCCGGAGUUUACUGAAACUCAUGUCCAUUGAGUCAGUGAUGUCAUCCAACCAUCUCAUCCUCUGUCAUCCCCUUCUCUUCCUGCCUUCAAUCUUUCCUGCCUUCAAUCUUUUCAAAUGAGUCAGUUCUUCGCAUACCAGUUUACUAAACACCAACCUUGAACUAGCACAGAUUUAGUUCUUACAUAUAUUACUCAAAAAUACUCAACAAUGAGUUAGCAAUUAUUAUAGUGAGUGCCUCUUAGUGAUUAAAGGCAAGGACUGUGGAACCAGACAGGCUCAAUUCAAAUCCUGGCCUCAUUAUGUGCUACCUGAGUAGCCCUGGGGAAGUUAUUUAAUUUCCAUUUGUAAUAGUUUUCUUAUCUGUAAAAGUAGUAAGUACUAUAAUACUAAAAUAUGAAGAAGUUAACAUAUACAAAUGUAGUAUAGCACAGUGAUAAUCAACUGAUGUAUAUUGUUAUUUCAUCUCGCAAGGACCCAUUUUACAGAUGAAGAAACUGAGAUUCAAAGAGAAUAAGGAGAAAUGAAUAGUUACAGAUGAAUUUGAGGUUGGUCAAUUCUAAAGCUCCAAAUCCUCAUCAAAACACAAUACAGUACUGCCAACAAAGGAAAAUCAGGCCUAGGUAAUUUCAUUUACAAAAUCAACCAAACAUUUAGAGAGUAAAUGUCAGUCAUGCUCAAGCUCUACUGGAAAACAGAAGAGGAGAGAACACUUUCCAGCUCAGUUAUGAAAUCAGUAUUACCAGGAACCAGGUCCAAGCAAAGAUAUAAGAAAAGAAAACCUCAGGACAUUUCCCAUGAGAAUAGAUGUUAAAAUUAUCCAUAAAAUAUAAGUAAAUUCAAUCUAAAGGUAUAUUUAAAAGGAUAACACAUAAUAACCAAGUGGAGUUUAUGCUAGAAAUACAAGGCUGAUCCAACAUUUAAAAAUGAAUCAAUAUUGUUUCCCAGAUCAGAGCACUAGAGAAGGAAAUCAUAUGAUCAUCUCAAUUGUUGUGUAAGAAGAAUUUGACAAAAUUCAGCAUCUAUUAUUUUCAGCAAAAUGGGAAAUAUAAUUUCCUUAACACAAUAAAGGGCAUCUGUGAAAAACCUACAGCUACCUCUCUACUUAAUGUUAAAAGUCUGAAUGUCCUUCCCUUAAGAUCAAAAACACGGCUGGAUGUUAUCUCAACUUACGAUGAUCAUUUCACAAUAUAUAACAAAUAUCAAAUCAUUAUGUUAUAUACUUGAAACAAAUAUGAUUUUGUAUGUCAAUUAGAUCUCAAUUAAAGGGUAAAGAAAAGAUUUAGUUGUCUUGUUAAUAUACUGAGGGAUAUUGUGAAGAGAUUGUCAUAUAAGCACAAUUUUGCUGUGCCUUGAUAACCAAAUUUUAAAAAUAAAUCAGAAAUAUUAUUUUCUCUUUCCUUUCAAAAAAAGAAGACAUGCUGAUUAUACAGUAGCAUAGAAGCUAAUACCUAGCAGAACAUGACAAAAGAUAUGAAAGAUCUAUGCAGGGGAAAUUAUAAAAUUUUGUUACAGAGUCAAUAAAGGCUAGAAUUAUUGGAGAGAAAGUCCAAAUUUAUGUAUUGGAAUUUGCAAUAUUAUAUAAAUUUCAUUCUUACUAAGUUAAUUUAUGUAAUUCCAGUUAUGAUUCUUCAUAUUUUGGGUAGAACUUCACAAAUUG
ensembl:lncRNA